rnacentral:ncRNA from 1 species
UAGCCUGAACCAGCCAAGUAGCGUGCAGGACGACGGCCCUAUGGGUUGUAAACUGCUUUUAUGCGGGGAUAAAGUCACCCACGUGUGGGUGUUUGCAGGUACCGCAUGAAUAAGGACCGGCUAAUUCCGUGCCAGCAGCCGCGGUAAUACGGAAGGUCCGGGCGUUAUCCGGAUUUAUUGGGUUUAAAGGGAGUGUAGGCGGCCUGUUAAGCGUGUUGUGAAAUGUAGAUGCUCAACAUCUGAACUGCAGCGCGAACUGGCUGGCUUGAGUACACGCAACGUGGGCGGAAUUCAUGGUGUAGCGGUGAAAUGCUUAGAUAUCAUGAGGAACUCCUAUUGCGAAGGCAGCUCACGGGAGUGUCACUGACGCUUAAGCUCGAAGGUGCGGGUAUCAAACAGGAUUAGAUACCCUGGUAGUCCGCACGGUAAACGAUGGAUGCCCGCUGUUGGCGCUUUGCGUCAGCGGCUAAGCGAAAGCAUUAAGCAUCCCACCUGGGGAGUACGCCGGCAACGGUGAAACUCAAAGGAAUUGACGGGGGCCCGCACAAGCGGAGGAACAUGUGGUUUAAUUCGAUGAUACGCGAGGAACCUUACCCGGGCUUGAAUUGCAGAGGAAAGAUCCAGAGAUGGUGAUGCCCUUCGGGGCCUCUGUGAAGGUGCUGCAUGGUUGUCGUCAGCUCGUGCCGUGAGGUGUCGGCUUAAGUGCCAUAACGAGCGCAACCCCUUUUUCCGGUUGCCAUCAGGUGAUGCUGGGCACUCCGGGGACACUGCCACCGUAAGGUGUGAGGAAGGUGGGGAUGACGUCAAAUCAGCACGGCCCUUACGUCCGGGGCUACACACGUGUUACAAUGGCCGGUACAGAGGGCAGGUGCAAUGCAAAUUGCAUCAAAUCUAUAAAUCCGGUCUCAGUUCGGACUGGGGUCUGCAACCCGACCCCACGAAGCUGGAUUCGCUAGUAAUCGCGCAUCAGCCAUGGCGCGGUGAAUACGUUCCCGGGCCUUGUACACACCGCCCGUCAAGCCAUGAAAGCCGGGGGUGCCUGAAGUUCGUAACCGCAAGGAGCGACCUAGGGCAAAACUGGUGAUUGGGGCUAAGUCGUAACAAGGUAGCCGUACCGGAAGGUGCGGCUGGAACACCUCCUUU